GAUAGAGGGGUGGGGCUGGUACCCAGGGGAAGAAAGCGGGAGGUCUCGAAGCUGGCUUUGUAGCCGCGCCGCGACGGGCAGCCCCCGCGUGGCUCCCAGACUGCCCUAUCAUUACCUAGGGCAGGGCACCGCCCCCUCUGUCGCUCGCCACCAAACAUUUAGGUGAAAGCUACCCGGCUUCGCGGGGCACCUCCCCUCCCCUACUCGGAGCCAGUCUGCUGCGACCAUUACCCAGGCGUGCCAUUCUGGCCACCCGAUCUCCAGGCAGAGCUGCUCCCUACCUGUCCAGGACCAUCCCUUCAAAGGAGAUGUCACAUUCUCUCCGAAUUACCCUUCUGCUCUUUGCUAUUCUCCGACGCAGACAGAGCUAACUCAAUCCCUCUUUCUGCGCUGAAAACCAAAUUCCAAUUUUUUUUCUUCUUAAGAGUGUGUACGGGGAAGAAUGGAUGAUAAAUUGCCAAUGAAAUGUUCUCUUUGUCAGCUGUUGAGCAAGGUCCGAACAGAUACCUGUUCCAGAAUGUCUUUGAUGGAGUCCCAGGCUGGCCCUGGGGUUGGGGGUUGGGGGGCAGUUUUGUCUUUUUUUCCUCCAUGGAGUUUUAUUGGGUGGAGAGAAAUCCAAUUUAGUUGGAUUGUUGACUUGAAUACUACAAAGUCCCAGGAAGAUGCCUUCGAAGGGGAAGACCUGGUUGGCCUUAGCCAACCAGGCACUGGGGCACUGGGUUCCAAUGCUGGCCCUGUGUCAACAGCCGUAUAACGUGGGCCAAGUCCCUUCCAUGUUCUGGGCCUCUGUAAGAGGGGGUGAGCCAAAUGAUUUCUAAGGGCACCUUCCAGCUGAGAGGUAGAAGGAGGCAGAGAAGAAAGGGAGAUAGAGAAGGGAGAGGAAAUAGUGGCGCCCUGGUGGUAGUGGGGAACAGAGAGCAGGUGCCAGAGAGAGUUGAGAAGAGAAAAAUCAAGAAUCUACCUUCUGAGUCACUAAACAAGUUUAACUUGAAAACUGUCUCAGCGUUGCCUCCCUGGAGCAGACACACCUCUACCUGGGGACCCUCCUGGAGAUGGCUUUCCAAAGUCUUUGGCAUACCCUCUCGUGGCAAGCAGAGAGACUAGGGUGGAGUCCAGGGUCUCUGAGCUGGUGUCCCCUCUCCUCCAGGAAAGAGGUCAGGAGUCAGGGGAAAUUUCAGGUCAGCUGGAAAAUUACAGAGCCAGGAGAGAGUGGACGGUGGUAUUUUGCAGGCUUGGGAAAGAACACUGGGAACAUGAGAGAGUUGUCGCACCACAGACAAGUAAGAGCCCCCCUCUUCCUCCUGCCUCCCACCACUUCUUUCCAGGGGCCCUUGUGCUUUAUGCCUUAUGACAGGGGGAUGAGGAAGGAGAGCUCAGGGGAGUGAGCACACAGCCUGGAUCCCAUGGUGAUCCUGGGCCCUACCCAAUCACCCCUUCCCAACUAAACCAGGUGGAUGCACUGGCCAGGCCCCACCCAAUACAGGGUACAGUAGGGCUCUCUGCUCUGAAAAUCCCCCUCUUUCUGCUGAUGUAGCCUCAUGUUAUAAUAAUAAUAGUUGGCCAGGCGCAGUGGCUCACGCCUGUAAUCCCAGCACUUUGGGAGGCCGAGGCGGGCGGAUCACGAGGUCAGGAGAUCAAGACCAUCCUGGCUAACACGAUGAACCCCUGCCUCUACUAAAAACACAAAAAAGUAGCCAGGCGUGGUGGCAGGCACCUGUGGUCCCAGCUACUCCGGAGGCUGAGACAGGAGAAUGGCGCGAACCCGGGAGGCGGAGCUUGCAGUGAGCCGAGAUGGUGCCACUGCACUCCAGCCUGGGCGACAGAACGAGACUCCGUCUCAAAAUAAUAAUAAUAAUAAUAAUAAUAGUUAACCAUUACUAAUUGUGCCAGGCACUGUUUCUAAAUACUUUGUGUGUAUUAACUCAUUGAAUCCUUAGCACAACCCAAGAGACUGGUACCAUUUUCAGACAAAACAGAGGCAAUUGGCCAGGUGCAGUGGCUCACGCCUGUAAUCCCAGCACUUUGGGAGGCCAAGGUGGGCAGAUCACGAGGUCAGGAGUUUGAGACCAGCCUGGCCAACAUGGUGAAACUCUGUCUCUACUAAAAAUACAAAAAUUAGCUGGUUAUGGUGGUGCGCACCUGUAAUCCCAGCUACCAGGGAGGCUGAGGCAGGAGAAUGGCUUGAACCUAGGAGGCGGAGGUUGCAGUGAGCUGAGAUCAUGCCACUGCACUCCAGCCUGGGUGACAGAGCAAGACACCAUCAAAACAAAACAAAACAAAACAAAAAACAAAAAAAAACAUAACGGAGGCAAUUCCUCAGGGCAGUUACUUCACCCACAGCCCCUGAUUACACAGAAAAAAACAGUCUCUGGGCCCCAGAAACAAGGCAGAGGCAGCAAUCCCUCAGCAAGCCUGGCCAGUGACUUCAGAGCCUCAGAGAAAACCCGUACUACCCUCUAGGAUGCUGUGGCAUUCUGGGCAAAUAACAACUUCUCUGGGCCUCACUUGUCCAUGAGGUCCGCUGUAGGAAAACCACCAUUGCCCUUUCCCUUCCUCUCUCUUCCCUCCCCCACCACACACACACACACACACACACACACACACACACACACACACACACACAUUACUCCCCAGCCACUUCCCAUUUAUAGGAAAUGGGGGAUGAUGUGAGGAGCAAGGCCAUCCUUGGGGAACUGCUAAUAGUCUAGCUGGAUAUUGGAGAAACCAAAGAUGCUGGCAAAAUGCAUUAGCAGUCUCUGCCCCACCCCCACACACAGCCCCUCCUCAUUGUCCUUGGGCUAAGAGCAAGCAUCCUUCUCAUUCCACAGAGACCAGAUACCCAGCUGCAUCUGGUUGGCCUCACGGAAGCCUGAGAAGUCAUGAAGGACCUGGAGCUCCCUUGCUGUUCCCAUCUCUUGCCAUCUCCAUCAUCCAGGGCCGGUGGUCCACUUUGAGAUGUCUGUGCUGUCUGCCUCAGGAUGAGGGGCUGACUCUCUGACUUCAAGAUAGGAAUAAAAGGAGGAGGAGUCUGCUACACCCACCAUCAAGUGCGCUCACAGUAUUUACUCAACCAGUGACAAGGAGGGCCAAACAAGAGGAAAAAUCCUAGAACUGCAGCAAGACAGAUGGGAAUCACACUAGAGGAGGGACUUCCCAGGGCAUCUGAGGAUUUACUACUGUAUCUGGAUCUUUGGGAUUGAGAGAGGAGCAAGAAGCUGACACUGCCUACUGCAAGUGGCUAUAAAGCCAUUCUCACGGUCCUGAUGCAAUGCUCAAGAUAAAAAGCAAGCCUGCGGGAAGGAGAGACACUGGCCUGAGUCCAGGUGUCUGAGCAGGAACACCAGCCCCAGACUCCAAAUGAAGCUCC